rnacentral:lncRNA from 1 species
AUCCAUUUAGUAACUACAACUAACCUACAUCCAGUCUACACUCCAAGAAGGAAUGUAGAAGAGUAGGGUCAGUACAACCGCAUGUACUGGUAGGUAUCAUUCACCGACCGUGUUAGUUCAUAUAAUCAUAAAAUAGAAUUAAGGAAAAUAAAUCAUGACAUAUUUAAUGGAAUAUAAUUCAUCUAAGGUUGUAAUAAUAUGAUUACUUCACCUAUAUAAGUUACAACAUCCAACUAAUCUUCCAAAUCCAUUAAUAUUACAUUCGCUACUAACAUACUCAAGCCUCAUUAGUUCACACCAUCAACCACAAUCCAACACCAAUACAUCACUAUUCCUCUUUAUUCACCUUAUCUUACAUCACUAUUCCUUUUUAUUUACCUUAUCUUUUUCAUUACUCAUAUUCAUAUGAACAAACCCGUAAUCAUAGACAACCUACACUAAACUCCCAGGCUAACAACCAAAUGCUCUAUUAUAAUAUUAAAGAAUGAUAACUAGCAAUUUUGGUAGGCUACGAUUAAAACACGUAUAAAUGAAGCAAGUCAACCAACAUAUAAGUAAGUACCAAUUUUAACUUUUUCAAAUACAUAUCACACAAUCAAAUACCCAAUAAAUCAAUAAUACAACAACAACAAAUCAAACAGUGCUCACAAACAAGCCACAUAACCAUCAAGAGUAUCAACCAUACUGUAAACAUCCACAGACUCAACACAAAUAUGUACACACAUGCUAUAGGACUAUUUUUUUUGAAAUAGUCAUGACUUGCAAGGAACAAUCUAUGUUCAUGUACCGUACCGGCGUGGUACCUGAUCCAAUAUAUAUAUCCGUAUCGGCGUGGUACCCGAUCCAACAUAUACAUAUCCGUACCGGCGUGGUACUCAAUCCAAUAUAUUCAUAUCCGUACCCGCAUGGUACCCUAUCCAACAUAUACAUAUCUUUAUCGGCGUGGUACCCGAUCUAAAAUAUACACAUCCAUACGGGCGUGGUACUCGAUCAAAAAUAUACAUAUCCAUACCGGUGUGGUACCCGAUUUAGCAUAUACAUAUCCAUACCGGCGUGGUACCCAAUCCACCAUAUACAUAUCCGUACCGGCAUAGUACCCGAUCAAAUAUAUAUAUAUCCAUACUGGUGUGGUACCCUAUCCAAAAUACACAUAUCCAUACCGGCGUGGUACCCGAUCCAACAUAUACAUAUUCAUACCGGCAUGGUACCCGAUCCAACAUAAAUAAGUAUUAUCAAUAUCAAAUUUACAUAACCUCGCAGUAUACAACACAAUGUACCAAGUUUACAAGUAUACUUAAAGUCAUAUGACAAUUCCAUCAAGUAAAUUUUUAAUAAUAAUUUAUACACGCACCAACAAUCCAAACAUCAACAAUUUCAAGCAUGUCCGAAUACCAAUCAACAAGUAUUCAUAGCAUUACUUUAAGGAGUUAUCAUUAUCAAACAAGACUCUCAUAGGCACAAUUAAUAAACCACCAUUAUCACCAAUUUAGCCUCUCAAGGACAUCCAAUAGAUAUAGUAUUUUUUUCAAUGUCAAAACAAGAAUAUCAUAAAAUAAAUCACAAUUUAGUUCUUACGCAUACAAGUCACUAUUGGAGCCCUAAUUACUCAUUAAUUAUUAAAAAUAUCUAUUUUCUUAAAUACUGUAAUUUGAGUUAUAACAUCAGCACCUAUAACUAACACAUUCACACGUAUCAUUAUCCUCUACCUCUUUCCACAUAAUACAACCAUCACACUAAUUCAAGUUAUCUAUUCCUUAGAUAUUACUAUGCUCAUCAAUAUUCGAUCUUAGCAUAAUUCUUCUCAUCAUAUUAUUGCACAAUACAUACAACCUAAUACCAUUACAACUCUAUUAGGUUCAUCACUAGAACAAUUAAAAAAAUGUCAUGUUCAUAUACUACGUUUAUAACAAUCUCCUUUCGGGCACAUAACACAAAAUAUCAUAAAUAUUACAUAAUCAAUCAAUAAUAUAAUUUUUGGGAUUAAACUUAAAUAUUCAUGCCUUUAUCCACCUCAGCUCCAUGCCAACAUGCCUAGACAUGAUUUUUCCCAUCAAUUCUAAAUUAUGAAAAUAUAAAAUAACACAAUCUUCUACUCAUCAAAUCUAGCCUACCUAGACUCCAAACUUUUAAAAGAAACAAGCAGCAACCAAGAUGCUCUUUCCUUUUCCUUCAUGCCUUGGAAUAAUCAACCAUCUAAAAAUCAAGCAAUAAUAAAAGUAAUUAAAUAAUUAUUCUUCAAACAAAUAUCUUGGGGAUUCAAAAUCACUAGUUCAAUCCUUAAUUCAAGGUCUAUAUUAUUUUUCAAUGUUAGGUAGCCAUUAAUUAGCUCUUUUAAGCUUAAUCCAUCUCCAUUAAUGGAGUUUCUAUGCUAAAGGUCUCAUCUUUACGGAAUUCAAGGUUCCUAACCAUCAAAAUUCAUAAUACAGUUUAUGAAAUUCAUGUUAGGAAUCUUUUAUUUUUAGUUUAGAAUCGGUUAUAGGUCAUAUUAAAAAUACCCAUGGGUAUUUCCCAAAAGAAUUCCACCAUUAAAAGUCUUUCUAAGGAUUCUAAGAUGUUAAAAGGAUUAAAAGACGAAGAAAAUAAUGGAAAAACUUACCUCAAUGAAGGAAUUUCAUCUUCAGCCUUGGGAAAUCCUCUCUCUAGUGUUGGAUAAUGAAAUUUGGGGGUUUUGGACAUAAAAUACGGCUGAAUUUGAUUUAAAUACAAUAAGAAUUUUUGUUACAGUGAAAUCCCAUUUCAGUCCAGAUAGUGCUCUGUAAAAUAGUCAUAACCUUUUACUCCGAAUUCGAAUUGAGGAACGGUUUAUUGCAUUGGAAAGAGGACUCAAAAAUAUUUAAUUUGAUAGGUAAUGGGACCCUUAAAUCCUUAUAUUCUAUGAGAUAUGAUCGUUUGAAGUUGGCCCUAAUAAAAACCCAUAUCGAAACUGUAUCGGAAAGAAAGUUUUAAACUUAACUUUGUGUUAGGGAUAUUGUAUGACCUUAGUUAAUAGCUACAAAAAUUUAAAAAUAAUUUAUUGAUAUUAGAACUCAUGAAUAAUUAAAUUCAUCAGGCUUGAGUUUAUCUAGACACAUCUGAAAACUAAGAUCUUCACCGAAAAGUUUAAGGUGACAUAAUAAAUAAAAUAUUGGUUAAUUUGGACCCAAAUUAAUAUUGAGAAAUGAAUUUAUUAUGAAUAAUUUAGUAACGAAAAAAUGGUUUGUUAUACUUUCGGGCUUCAUUUGGCGAGAAAAUGUUUUGACUUCUUUUAUUAUACACCGUGGGAUAGUGCCCAGCUACUGUUUUCAGUGUAUAUGCACUGUAUAUCAGCGUAUAUGCACUGUAUAUCAGCGUAUACCAGCUUAUAUACUUGUCUCUUGGUUCAUUUUCGGGACUUUGGCCGAGGCUCGGACAUGACGAAGUUCGAAUGCGAGGAUAAAUAGAGUCCAAGUGGACUCAAUAAAGAUGAGUUCAUGCACAAAUGGAGAAAUUAGUACCGAAUCUUGUAAGAGGGAAAGAAAUAAAUAAAAUCCAUGUAAA